rnacentral:lncRNA from 1 species
ACUGACCUGAUGACACUGAUGUGGAACUGGUCCUCGCGAAGGCCUCGCCAGGCUCCGGGCAGGAAUUCCUUACACCACAGGUACCUGAGCCCUGACAUUUUUGCUAUCAAAAUACUGAAGAACCACAGGAGGGACUGCCUAGUUCUCCUGGGAUGAAAGGGUCUCAUCUAAUCCAGGCAAGCUGCUGGCCUUGAUCACCCAAUGUAAAUGAGGACGGCCUUGAACACCAAGUCAACUUUCUUCUUCUACCUCUCAAGUGCUGGCACUGUGUGUACAACAUGCAUAGCUUCCAAUAACAUUUCAGGAAGAAUUUAGACUGUAAGAUUUCACCAAAUUAGUUCUUCAGUUCUCUACGUACAACUGCAUACAAGAGGCUAUAUUGUAGGCAAUACCAGAGGAGAAAGACAGCAUCGUUGUCUUGGUUUGUUUGAUUUUAAUUAAUUAAUUAAUUAAUUAAUUAUUUUGAGACAAGGGUUCUCUGUGCCCUGACUGUCCUGGAACUCACUGUUUAUACAGUGGGAUGGUGGCAGUGAGGAUGUAGGUCCUCACAGAAUAUAUGCCUAACCUGCAUCAUGGAAAAAGUUAAACUCACUCAAAGACACAGAAAAAUAAGCUAGACACCACUAAAAUGAAGGCAGGUGCACACACAGACUGAGAGUUAGCAUAUGUGUGUGUGUGUGUGUGUGUGUGGCGUGCGUGCGUGUGUGUAGAGGUCAGAGGACAACUUUCUCCUUCCAUCAUGUGGCUUUCAGGAAUCAAAUUCAGGCCAUCAAGUUUUGCAGCAAUUGCCUGCCUAUCAAGCCAUCUCACUUGACUGAUGUAGGCAUUUUUAACAGGGUUUGUGUGUCCUUUACUUUCUGAAACUUGUUCAUUCCAAUCUCAGAUGUCGUCCAAGUACCCCAAUUUUCACUGUUCACCAUGUCAAACUACUUAAAAGCUAAAAUCAACAUAAAAUAACUCUACUUAUCCUAUUUUCCCUGGGGUGUGCCCCUCCUGAGAUGACCUCUGUUUCUCACUCUCUAACUAGACUGCCUCAUAAAUAAAGCC